GAGAUCAUACUUCAUAGGAUCAUUUCUAUAGUAUGAUUAGCGAGUUCACUCACCCUACUGGAGGAUCAAAUUUAAAU
rnacentral:snoRNA from 1 species